rnacentral:tRNA from 1 species
ACCGUUGUAGCUCAGCGGAUAGAGCACUCGCCUGACUAACGAGGUUGUCGCGGGUUCGAAUCCCACCAGCGGUAC